rnacentral:rRNA from 1 species
CGCCUAAACAUGCAAGUCGAACGAAGUAGCAAUACUUAGUGGCAGACGGGUGAGUAACAUGUAGGUAUCUGCCCUUUGGCCUGGAAUAACACGAGGAAACUUGUGCUAAUACCGGAUAAGUCUUUACGGAGAAAGCUUUAUGCACCAUUGGAUGAGCCUGCACUUGAUUAGUUUGUUGGUGGGGUAAUGGCCUACCAAGACUGUGAUCAAUAGCUGAUUUGAGAGGAUGAUCAGCCACAUUGGGACUGAGACACGGCCCAAACUCCUACGGGAGGCAGCAGUGGGGAAUCUUGCACAAUGGAGGAAACUCUGAUGCAGCGAUGCCGCGUGAGUGAAGAAGGCCCUUGGGUUGUAAAGCUCUUUCGUCGGGGAAGAAAAUGACUGUACCCGAAUAAGAAGGUCCGGCUAACU